AGCGGCGGACGGGUGAGUAACACGUGGGUAACCUGCCCAAGAGACUGGGAUAACACCUGGAAACAAAUGCUAAUACCGGACAAUAAAGCAGAUCGCAUGAUCAGCUUUUGAAAGGCGGCGUAAGCUGUCGCUAAGGGAUGGCCCCGCGGUGCAUUAGCUAGUUGGUAAGGUAACGGCUUACCGAGGCGACGAUGCAUAGCCGAGUUGAGAGACUGAUCGGCCACAUUGGGACUGAGACACGGCCCAAACUCCUACGGGAGGCAGCAGUAGGGAAUCUUCCACAAUGGACGCAAGUCUGAUGGAGCAACGCCGCGUGAGUGAAGAAGGUUUUCGGAUCGUAAAGCUCUGUUGUUGGUGAAGAAGGAUAGAGGUAGUAACUGGCCUUUAUUUGACGGUAAUCAACCAGAAAGUCACGGCUAACUACGUGCCAGCAGCCGCGGUAAUACGUAGGUGGCAAGCGUUGUCCGGAUUUAUUGGGCGUAAAGCGAGCGCAGGCGGAAAAAUAAGUCUAAUGUGAAAGCCCUCGGCUUAACCGAGGAACGGCAUCGGAAACUGUUUUUCUUGAGUGCAGAAGAGGAGAGUGGAACUCCAUGUGUAGCGGUGGAAUGCGUAGAUAUAUGGAAGAACACCAGUGGCGAAGGCGGCUCUCUGGUCUGCAACUGACGCUGAGGCUCGAAAGCAUGGGUAGCGAACAGGAUUAGAUACCCUGGUAGUCCAUGCCGUAAACGAUGAGUGCUAAGUGU
rnacentral:rRNA from 1 species